rnacentral:lncRNA from 1 species
GCUGAUACUUUAUGGGAUUACAUACCAAAAUAAACAUGGAUCUGAGGUAGCAACCUCAGAUCUGGACCUCAAGCUCAAGAUUGGUCUUAAACAUGGCUUAAAAGCCCCAAAACUCAUAACCAAGGAAAAUAUGGAGGAGAGAAACGAAUUGAUACCUUCCAAUGCUCUGAAAUGCUUCCCAAACUUCAGAUCCAAAGCCACUCCCUGAUGCUUCAAGGAUUCCCACUCCUUCUUCUUCCUUAAACCCACUCAAAAAUGGCUAGAAGCUUGAAUGAACACAAUGGGGGCUUAAGGUGCGGCGUUCUGGGUGUAAGAGGCUGUAAAGGAGCCCUAGGAAGAAGAUUAAGAUGCUUAAAUAGGCUCCAAGCCCCGGAUUUAGGGUUUUCCUCGCACAGACCAGACUCGCCGAGUCCACUUGGCCGACUCGUCGAGUUGGUCACUUUCUUAUCGACCCGGAUCCCGCUCCGACUCGCCGAGUCCUUCCUUUGACUCGUCGAGUCCCUCUUAAAUUUAGGGUUUCCUUUACUUUCUUGGCUUUCAAAAUCCUGGGUGUUACAAUGGGUGGAUAUAAACCUUAAAGGUGACAACUUUAUGCAUCUAAAACAUCUGAAACACCGUGAGUGGCAACUCAAAGCUCCUGGAGUGGUAUCAAACCACUAGAUCCCACUCUUUGGGCCAAAAGGGACCAAAACUCACAAAUUAUAGAUCUAAGAUACUAAUGAGCAAGAUCAAAGCAUUUUACCUCAAACAAGCUGGAAAUGAAACAAAUAAACAAGAUCCACAAGCUCUUCCUUGAUCCACCACCUUGCACUAAGAUUCUACUACUUGAAUAUGAACCAAAACACACAAAANUGACUCGAGUCUUAACUCGAAGGGUUUGGGACCACUCGACCUGACUCGCCGAGUCUAAGAACAGACUCGCCGAGCACACGACAAACUUCAUCCAACUCGACGAGUUGUUCAUCCAACUCGCCGAGUUCAUGCCCAUCUUCAUCCGACUCGACGAGCUGUUCAUCCCACUCGUCGAGUUCCUCCUCAUCUUCAAGCUACUCGCCGAGUCCACUCGAAGGACUCGUCGAGUCCACUAAGAUCCACUUACAUGCAGAGGACUUCCGAGUCAUGCAUGAGCUCCAAACUAUAGAUCUACCCUCCCCAAGCCUAUUUCCCACGUAAAGUUGCAAACUUUACGUGUAGAGAGUGAGAUCUAGGCAAAAUACACCCAUAGCUAGGGUUUAGGACCAAGAGACUCCAAUUUCCACCCAAUGGCUGAUACUUUAUGGGAUUACAUACCAAAAUAAACAUGGAUCUGAGGUAGCAACCUCAGAUCUGGACCUCAAGCUCAAGAUUGGUCUUAAACAUGGCUUAAAAGCCCCAAAACUCAUAACCAAGGAAAAAUAUGGAGGAGAGAAACGAAUUGAUACCUUCCAAUGCUCUGAAAUGCUUCCCAAACUUCAGAUCCAAAGCCACUCCCUGAUGCUUCAAGGAUUCCCACUCCUUCUUCUUCCUUAAACCCACUCAAAAAUGGCUAGAAGCUUGAAUGAACACAAUGGGGGCUUAAGGUGCGGCGUUCUGGGUGUAAGAGGCUGUAAAGGAGCCCUAGGAAGAAGAUUAAGAUGCUUAAAUAGGCUCCAAGCCCCGGAUUUAGGGUUUUCCUCGCACAGACCAGACUCGCCGAGUCCACUUGGCCGACUCGUCGAGUUGGUCACUUUCUUAUCGACCCGGAUCCCGCUCCGACUCGCCGAGUCCUUCCUUUGACUCGUCGAGUCCCUCUUAAAUUUAGGGUUUCCUUUACUUUCUUG